UUAAACCUCUUCCAGAGUAUCAAUUGGAGGGCAAGUCUGGUGCCAGCAGCCGCGGUAAUUUCAGCUCCAAUAGCGUAUAUUAAAAUUGUUGCAGUUAAAAAGCUCGUAGUUGAAUUUCUGCUGCUUUGCAUUUUCUCCUAUACGAGUUUUUGCAUUGUGGCUUAUUUCGGUUAUAAUUUAUUAUUUCCGGAUGUUUACUUUGAGAAAAUUAGAGUGCUCAAAACAGGCUUUUGCCUUGAAUAGUUUAGCAUGGAAUAAUAAAGUAGGACUUUGGUUCUAUUUUGUUGGUUUUAGGUACCAAAGUAAUGGUUAAUAGGAACAGUUGGGGGCAUUCGUAUUUAACUGUCAGAGGUGAAAUUCUUAGAUUUGUUAAAGACGAACUACUGCGAAAGCAUUUGCCAAGGAUGUUUUCAUUAAUCAAGAACGAAAGUUAGGGGAUCGAAGACGAUCAGAUACCGUCGUAGUCCUAACCAUAAACUAUGCCGACUAGAGAUUGGAGGUCGUCAGUUUUUACGACUCCUUCAGCACCUUGAGAGAAAUCAAAGUCUUUGGGUUCUGGGGGGGAGUAUGGUCGCAAGGCUGA
rnacentral:rRNA from 1 species